AUUGAACGCUGGCGGCAUGCCUUACACAUGCAAGUCGAACGGCAGCACGGGAGCAAUCCUGGUGGCGAGUGGCGAACGGGUGAGUAAUAUAUCGGAACGUGCCCAGUCGUGGGGAUAACGUAGCGAAAGCUACGCUAAUACCGCAUACGAUCUAUGGAUGAAAGCGGGGGAUCGCAAGACCUCGCGCGAUUGGAGCGGCCGAUAUCAGAUUAGGUAGUUGGUGAGGUAAAGGCUCACCAAGCCGACGAUCUGUAGCUGGUCUGAGAGGACGACCAGCCACACUGGGACUGAGACACGGCCCAGACUCCUACGGGAGGCAGCAGUGGGGAAUUUUGGACAAUGGGCGCAAGCCUGAUCCAGCAAUGCCGCGUGCAGGAUGAAGGCCUUCGGUUGUAAACUGCUUUUGUACGGAACGAACGGUAGAGCUCUAAUACAGUUUG
rnacentral:rRNA from 1 species